UAACUUGCGUUGGUGUAUCAUAAAUCAUGCCUCGCAAGGCCUCUUUGUACGAGGGCGUAGCGAUCGCUUACUUUGGUGUAUCAAAUCAUGCCUCGCAAAGCCUCAUUGCACGAGAGCGUAGCGAUCGCUUGCGUUAGUGUAUCAAAUCAUGCCUCACAAGGCCUUCCCUAGAAGUUUAGAACGAUAUAAGUUUGUCUCGGAUGUUGAGUAUGUUAAUGAGACAAGGCUGGCAACUUAAUUCUGACUACCUCAGCUUCAGCGCGAUUUUCUGCAGGAUUUUUAAAAAGUUAGAAAUCACUGACACCGGUGCAGGAUGGGACAGGGAUGAAACUAUCCCCGAAUCGAUUUUUUAAGCAAGCUGCUAAAAAAAACCCUGCGAGAAAUGAUUUUUUGAACGUCAAUUUUAGCUAUCCGUCGAUGAUCGGGACAUAGCUGGUCAAAUGGCAUCCUUGGAAUGUAAUUUCCAUAGACAGCAUAGCCUCACACCACAUAGAACCCGACUUGUCUUUCUCAAAGUUUCCGCACUAAUAUCUAAGUUGCGAGCUGUUGUGUGAAAAGUAACUUUUAGAGCUAAGGGGAGUGAUGCGGACUGUCGAUGUUUGCGACCUGUCGAUCUAAAAGAGGGUGGAGAAGGACAAGACAGGUAUAUGCAAAUUACAUUCCAAGGAUACCAUCUGAACAGCUGCUAUGUUUUUACGAAAAUAGGAAAAUCGCGAAAUCCUUCACUGACGCAGGUGAAGUCUGAUUGCUCGAAGGCGUAGCGAUCGCUUGCGUUGGUUUAUCAAAUCGUGCCUCGCGAAGCCUCCUUGUACGAGGGCGAAGCGAUCGCUUGCGUUGGUGUAUCAAAUCGUGCCUUGCGUUGGUGUAUCAAAUCAUGCCUCGCUAGGUCUCAUUGCACGAGGGCGAAGCGAUCGCUUGCGUUGGUGUAUCAAAUCGUGCCUCGCGAAGCCUCCUUGUACGAGGGCGAAGCGAUCGCUUGCGUUGGUGUAUCAAAUCGUGCCUUGCGUUGAUGUAUAGAAUAGUGCCUCCAAAGCCUUAUCGCUGGGCGUUUAUCAAACAAAAUUCUAGUGAUGUGUGCGUAACGAUCGCUGGUUUUCAAUUUCUUAUCAACCUGCGCCUCAAUCAGCAACGGAGUGAAACAUAAGCAAUAUAGAGGUCACGCUCACCCCGUGUUGUAGAUAUAGAUAGACGGAACCAUGAUCACUAGACCAACGAUGUUAAACCACGUGGUGAUACUGACUUCUGGUUGCCAAUGGAAGCCUGGCUGUUCCUUGAACAAUGUCCAAAACAAAAACCCAAGCGGCGUCACGAUCGCCUGCAGCGGAACAUAAACAGAUAUCGAGUCCGGACCAGUAUGAGGAAAAAAAGGAAAUAUGGGUAAAUCAUAACAAAAAAAGGGUUACCUAAAUACUCGAUUUGGAGCAAAAUGUAGGAGAUCCACUAAAAUCCUACGUUAUAUGAGUGAACAAGACCCACGAGAAACCAUAAAACAUGCAAUGAGCAAACCUAAGGUGCAACACAUGCAGCCCUUAAUAUCAAAAAUCAAAAUAAAGAAAUAAUAAAGACAUGCAAAACGAAUAAACAGGCCAUUCCAGCUAAAAGUAUGCGCGCGCAUAACCAUAGAAACCUACCUCAACUACCAGAAUGCAGCACGCAGCUUACAUCAAACGAAGCGCACGCUGCAUGCUGGUAGUUGAGUCAGGUUCUUAUGGUGAGUGCACGCGCAUGCUUAUAGCUGGAAUGGCCUAUUGGAAGUCAACGAAUAGGAAAGGUGCAAGGGGACACGGAGUCCCAUGCGGGGCACCGCCCUUAGGAUAAAAUAACUAAUCAAAUUACACGAACAAGGGACGUUCAUUACCAAAUGUGGCGAAAAAGGCGUUUGAAAACAAUGUAGGCUAUGAUAGCCUUCCUAUACUUCGGCUAUGCUGUUUGUGCUUCCAAACCCAGGGAUGGCAUCCACCCAGAAGCAAAGCGCCAGCGUCAGAAACUGAUAGAAGUUGGUUGAGCCAAUCAUAUGCAUGACAUCAGGAGGCUUACUAGAAGAUGCAGACACCAUUGAGACGGCAUACUCUAUUAGAAUGUAAGCCACAGCUAAAAGCACCUGGCGAUUGAAAGGAGGUAACAAAGGAAAUUUAAAUCGUAGUUGAUGAGGGGCACAGUUAUACUCUGAAAAUGUAUAGAGGAUUUUACAUGGUUGCGCACAAUUUAAAUCUCAAAGUGUUGAAGAAUGACUGCUGAGUGUACGAGUGAUAAAUAAUAUUGGCAUGAAAAAAUAAAAUUGUAUCCAGCCAUGAAA